UACGUAGGGGGCUAGCGUUGUCCGGAUUUAUUGGGCGUAAAGAGCGUGUAGGCGGCCUGGUAGGUCUGCUGUGAAAACUCGAGGCUCAACCUCGAGAUGUCGGCGGAAACUAUCUGGCUAGAGUCCGGAAGAGGAGAGUGGAAUUCCUGGUGUAGCGGUGAAAUGCGCAGAUAUCAGGAAGAACACCCGUGGCGAAGGCGGCUCUCUGGGACGGUACUGACGCUGAGACGCGAAAGCGUGGGGAGCGAACAGG
rnacentral:rRNA from 1 species